AUUUACAGCAGGGUUUUUUUUUUCCAAAUAUGAACACUACAGUUGACAGGUGAACCCCUGCUAUCAGUUAGUCAGGUAAAAAUAACAACAAACCUCCAGCAUAAACACUCCCUUACACUACUUGGGACACACCACAGCGGUUUGUAAAGUUGUCUGCAAGAUAAUGCUUUGUUUAUACACUGUUUUAACAGCUGAUAGCAGAUGCGUGAGACACGCAUGAGAGACGCGUGAGACACUGGCAGUUAUAACAGGUUUGUGUGUGUGUGUGAGAUGGUAUAGAGAAACAGAUUCUUUCAAGGUUUGCCUGCCUCUCUGACACCAUGUGGUUUCACACACACGCUCACACACACGCACACACACACACACACACACACACAGAGGUAUAAAUGUACAGUAUAAAGAUUAGCGAAAAUUGGCAGGUAAAAGUGGCGAGACUUGUUGAGAUCAGAUCAGUGAAGUCUAAUCCUCUCCUGAGGUUGAGUCGUACUCACACAGCCUCAGGAAUCUGGUACCUGAGCCACUGAUGUGUGAAUCUGAGAAAACGACGCUAUGAAAGAUAAUACAAAGAGAGUAGAAGAGCUCAGGAGGACGAAGGAGAAUUAACAAGUAAGGGUUAAUGAGUUCCUCUAUGUGUGUGUGUGCGUGUGUGUGUUAAUGUGCAUGCAGGUCCUUUGCUGAAAGUUGUUGUAUCUGCUUUGACUCCGGUGUACUGGACGGCUGUUCAUGUAUCAGCAGGAAUGAUGAACGGCUUCACCAUCAGCCGCAGGAAUUUCAGACAAGAAUCCUAACUGGAGUUUCACACAGGAGAGAUCUUAAGAAUAACCCAUGUGGUGAGAGGUGUGGAUGCAGAGGGAGUUUUGCUAGUCGAUGUGGUCAUUAAUGCAUUUAUUCCUGCAGUGUUUUUAUCCCCAGUGCUACAUCAGCAGGUCUUAAUUUACGCUUCAUUAGAACUUUACAUUAAUCAUCGAUACAUUAAUAACAUUAAUCAGAUGUGUGGAAUAAAGAUCAUCUUGGGUAAAAAUCCUUGUUUCUAGGACUUUGAUGAGACGUACGUGCAAGUUGGCUCUGGUCAGAUUUACUCCUGGUCUACCCAGAAUUCUUUUCAGCAGGGUGUCAGCUCGGUGCUGACUCUGCGCUGUAAUCACUCGCUGGAGUUUGAUGGAUCAGUGAAAUGUUUCGCUCCACUACUGAAGCAAAUCUGUCAGACAUCAGCAGCUCCUACAACAUGCUCAACUUCAGGCUGUACUUUCACAUCACAGCCACAUUAUCACUGCCAGGUCAUCACAACCAUACAACAAUACUAAUGACAAUACUCACAUCACAACCAUACAACAAUACUAAUGACAAUACUCACAAAGUCCAUCAAUUUCAUCAGGGUCAUGUUCAGGGCUGAGCAGGAGGAACGACAUACACCAUGUCUGGAACGUCAGUAAAAGUCCAAAAUAAUUCUGUAAAAAAGCUUCAGUUUUGCCACAUAAUUAUAAAAUAGAUCAGGGCAUGCGUGUUUUAUUUUGUGUAGAUGAUGAGGGAGAGAAAUGCCUAGAAGGAUUCUUGCUGGAUGAAGCAUUUUACUGUGCUGCUAAAUACUUUUUAAUGAUUUCUGAUCAAAUAAAUUAAAUUAUGUUGUCAUGUCAUGUAUUUUAAACUACAACUAAAGUAGCUCAUAUUGUAGUGUAGGAGAGUUAGGGUUUAGGAUUGGGAUAACAUGUUAGUGUUUAGGAAUGUGAUUAAGGUUCAGGAUUGGGAUUAGGGUUUAGAAUUGGGAUUAAGGUUUAGGAUUGGGAUUAAUGUUCAGGGUUUGGGAUUAGGGUUUAGAAUUGGGAUUAAUGUUCAGGUCGUACAAUUAAGGUUUAGGAUUGGGAUUAGGGUUUGGAAUUGGGAUGGGAGUACGAUUAAGGUUUAGGAUUGGGAUUAGGGUUUAGAAUUGGAAUUAAUGUUCAGGGCGGACGAUUAAGGUUUAAGAUUGGGAUUAGGGUUUGGAAUUGGGAUGGGAGUACGAUUAAGGUUUAGGAUUGGGAUUAGGGUUUAGAAUUGGAAUUAAUGUUCAGGGCAUACGAUUAGGUUUUAGGAUUAAGGUUUAGAAUUGGGAUUAAUGUUCAGGCUGGAUGAUUAAGGUUUAAGACUGGGAUUAGGGUUUGGAAUUGGGAUUAAUGUUCAGGGUGUAUGAUUAAUGUUUAAGAUUGGGAUUAGGGUUUCUAAUUGGGAUUAAUGUUCAGGGCGUACGAUUAAGGUUUAGGAUUGGGAUUAGGGUUUUGAAUUGGGAUUAAGGUUUAGGAUUGGGAUUAGGGUUUAGAAUUGGGAUUAUUGUUCAGGGUGUAUGAUUAAGGUUUAGGAUUGGGAUUAGGUAAGUAGGGUAUGAUAAUUGUCUAGGAUUUGCAGAUCCUCCUUGUUGAUAGUUACAUGUGGAACAGCAGUGAAAGAAGUUAGUUCCUGUUCUCACUCACAUUUUAGCAACUAUAUACAGUCAUUCCCUCAUACGUUGGUACUGCACCAUGCAGAAGCAUCUCAAUUAUUUCCAAGCUACGUGCAGAUACGACUCUCAAAAUAACUGUAGGAUACGCACAGCAGAUAUCUGCCAAAAGCCUAUGUACAGUUAAAAUCGAGUAUAAUUAGGGUGUUAGUUUGUGUGUUGAUGUGUUUUUAUAUGAUGUUGUGUUUCAGACGAGGAUGAGUGUGUGUGUCAGAUUCUCCAUGUUCUCAGUCCUGCAUUAACAUCAU